rnacentral:rRNA from 1 species
AACGGCCGUACCAUGCUGAAUACCGGUUCUCGUUAGAUCACCGAAGUUAAGCAUCAUUGGGCGCGGUCAGUACUUGGGUGGGUGACCACCUGGGAACACUGCGUGCCGUU